UACGAAGGCUUCAAGCGUUAUCCGGAUUUAUUGGGCGUAAAGAGUGCGCAGGUGGCUAUGUGCGUCUGUUGUUAAAUGGCUCCGCUUAACGGGGUCGCUGCAAUGGAUACGGCAUAGCUUGAGCAUGUAAGAGGUGACUAGAACUCACGGUGUAGGGGUGAAAUCCGUUGAUAUCGUGGGGAAUACCAAAGGCGAAGGCAGGUCACUGGUACAUUGCUGACACUCAUAGCACGAAAGCGUGGGGAGCAAAAAGG
rnacentral:rRNA from 1 species